CAGGGAUUAAAAAAGGAAUUUAAUCAGCCUAAGGGGAAAGGAACGCCAAGGAAAUCUUUCAGAAGAGCUAAUGUGGGAACCAAGUGCUCAUGGAUCACCUCAAGCAUAAGUGAACAAGACAAAUUUUGGAACUGCCAAUAGUUAAAGUCCUAGGAUUCCUCAACUGUCUGCUGGCUCUGUCUCUCAGCAAAUCUUCCCAUCGCACUGGACACAUGGAAACUUUGGAUCUCUACACAACAAUCAAGGGGAACAAGCAACUGUAGGGAAAGUACAAAGUCUAACAAUUUCUUCUUCAUGGACCUUUUUGCUCAAUCUUUCUGAGGAAAGAGAGCUAGAAGACAUAGAUAAGGAAGAGAAGAGCUAUUCUUAGGAGAGAGCCAGAUUUCAGACACUGAGGAAUGCAAUAUGGACAUCCCGUCUGACUACACAGUAUACAAACUCUUUACCUAAUGUUGCAGAUGGGUUUCAUAUAUCCGAGGGGCUGUUUAUUAAUGUGGAUAUUUUUUCUCUCGCUUAUUUACAUAUUGCUCACAAGCCUGCCUACAACAUGGAAAUGAUUUGCAUGCAUCUCGUUUCUUAGGAGUAAAAGCACACUCCUACACAAUAGGGCACAUCAUUUCACAGAGAGGCAAGUC
rnacentral:lncRNA from 1 species